rnacentral:rRNA from 1 species
UCCCUACGGGGGGCUGCAGUGGGGAAUAUUGGACAAUGGGCGAAAGCCUGAUCCAGCAAUGCCGCGUGAGUGAUGAAGGCCCUAGGGUUGUAAAGCUCUUUUACCCGGGAUGAUAAUGACAGUACCGGGAGAAUAAGCUCCGGCUAACUUCGUGCCAGCAGCCGCGGUAAUACGAGGGGAGCUAGCGUUGUUCGGAAUUACUGGGCGUAAAGCGCGCGUAGGCGGUUUUUUAAGUCAGAGGUGAAAGCCCGGGGGGCAACCCCGGAAUGGCCUUUGAAACUGGAAAACUAGAAUCGUGGAGAGGUCAGUGGAAUUCCGAGUGUAGAGGUGAAAUUCGUAGAUAUUCGGAAGAACACCAGUGGCGAAGGCGACUGACUGGACAAGUAUUGACGCUGAGGUGCGAAAGCGUGGGGAGCAAACAGGAUUAGAUACCCCAGUAGUCAAG